UUAUACAAGUAGAACUUACCUUAGAAAGUGCUCAAAUAUAAACCGCUAUCUCUGAUCUCGGAAGCUAAGCAGGGUUGGGCCUGGUUAGUACUUGGAUUGGAGACUACCUAGGAAGACCAGGUGCUGUAGGCG
rnacentral:rRNA from 1 species